AUCAGCCUUCUGUUGUUCCAGCUCCGGUCAGGGGCAGUGCUUCAGCGGAUUCGUGGAAAUUUGUAACAGCUCCACAAACAGUGACCGACGUAUUUUUUUAAAUUUUUUUUACUAGUGAAUGAAGUGGUGUACAGCUUUAUUUUGUUCAGGAUUAAACAUACCUCGGUUCUCAAAGAUGGCGACUGGGUGACAGAAGCACCAUUAAUGAGUCGAAGAAGGGAGUCUGCAUAGGAAACGGAACAGUGUGUGGCUUGGUUAAUUGAAACGAAGUCAGACACCCAAGUUCUCAGAAAUUUCAGAACGAGGUACGGGACACUAUCACCCUCUCGGCCAUCCAUAAGAAAAUCGCACAGGAGCUUCCUAGAAACAGCUGGCUGGCUCGUGUUUUGGACUGAGCGCUACCUUUCCACCUACGGGUACCGGGGCUGUGAAAUCCUGGGUAGCGGGAGGUGACUCCGGGUCGAAGCUCGAGAAGUGGGUCCUGUACGAACUGCCGGCUUCCAUCUUGGCUUCUCCAAGUUCAGUUUUCGUUCCGCCUUCGAUCGACCUGGCGUCACUCCUAACUAAUUAAUUCUGAUGCUAAUUAUCUUUAUUCGGGUAUUUAUUAUAUUUAUUAAACUUUGUCUGGAGAGCAACAUACAAUUGCGAAUUAAUUUUAAGCCGUCAGGCGCAUGAUUGUUAGUGGUUUUAAAAUUUUCUUAUAUAUGAGAUUUGUUUCAUAAAAUAUAUUGG